rnacentral:rRNA from 1 species
UCGAAUGUAGCAAUACAUGGCGUACUGCUCAGUAACACGUGGACAACCUACCCUCCGGACGGGUAUAAACCCGGGAAACUGGGUAUAAUCCCCGAUAGAUCUCGGUCGCUGGAAUGCCCCGAGAUCGAAAGCUCCGGCGCCAGAGGAUGGGUCUGCGGCCUAUCAGGUAGUAGUGGGUGUAGCGUACCUACUAGCAUACGACGGGUACGGGUUGUGAGAGCAAGAGCCCGGAGAUGGAUUUUGAGACACGAAUCCAGGCCCUACGGGGUGCAGCAGGCGCGAAAACUUUACAAUGCCGGCAACGGCGAUAAGGGGACCUCGAGUGCCAGGUUACAAAUCUGGCUGUCGUGAUGCCUAAAAAGCAUUGCAUAGCAAGGGCCGGGCAAGACCGGUGCCAGCCGCCGCGGUAACACCGGCGGCUCGAGUGGUAACCGUUAUUAUUGGGUCUAAAGGGUCUGUAGCCGGCCGGAUAAGUCUCUUGAGAAAUCCAGCAGCUCAA